rfam:Triticum aestivum genome assembly, contig: Triticum_aestivum_CS42_TGACv1_scaffold_230689_3B
GUGUUACACCGUCCGAAAAUACUUGUCAUUAAAAUGGGCAAAAAGGGAUGCAUCUAGAACUAAAAUACAUCUAGAUACAUUCCCUUUUAUUCAUUUUGAUGACAAGUAUUUUCGGACGGAGGAAGUAAUUA